GAUGAAGAACGUAGCGAAAUGCGAUACUUGGUGUGAAUUGCAGAAUCCCGCGAAUCAUCGAGUUUUUGAACGCAAGUUGCGCCCGAAGCCAUUCGGCCGAGGGCACGUCUGCCUGGGUGUCACGCAUCGUUGCCCCCCCAAACUCCGGUUCGGGCGGGGCGGAAGUUGGCCUCCCGUGCGUGCCUGCGCGCGCGGUUAGCCCAAAAGCGAGUCCUCGGCGACGAGCGCCACGACAAUCGGUGGUUUUUUUACCCUCGUUCCUCGUCGUGCGUGCCCCGUCGCCCGAACGCGCUCUUGCGACCCUUACGCGUCGCCUCGGCGGCGCUCCCAACGCGACCCCAGGUCAGGCGGGACUACCCGCUGAGUUUAAGCAUAUCAAUAAGCGGAGGA
rnacentral:misc_RNA from 1 species